GGGGACUAUGUCAAAUACUUCUAUGUGUCCCUGAAAGGGAUUUGUACUGUCAGUAGGAAAAAUAAUAUUGUUAAUUGCUUUAAAUGGUUUUCUUUCAUGAAAUCCUUAAUUGACUGUAAGGUUAUCACUAAUUGAGACUGCUCUUCUAAUUGGUCUUUUUUUCCCCAACCUUUUUAGUCUGGUUUCUGGAGAGAUGAUGAGUCCUGUGGACCCAAGUGGAAGGUGAAUCCUGUCACUGUCACCCUCUGCUCUCAUAUGGAGCAUCCUUAUUCUGUAGAAAUGCACCUCGAUAAAGUACCCCAGAACAGCCUUUGAACAUACCAAAGUAGUUGCUCAAUCAAUACUUGCUGAAAUGAAGAUAAAAAGAGAAGAUGGACCAAACAAAACCGAAGCUAUGAAAUCCUGGAAUUUAGCAGAUUUCUGCAAAGUUGACAUUCAUCAGAUCUCAUCUGAGUCACCAAGUUGUCAGCUGCUCUGAGAAGUCCUGAAGUCUGUGGAAAAACAACCCCAAACAUUGGCACCAUCUGUAGAAGAGGCUUCACUCUUAAGAUUCUCUAUUUGUACUCAUUAAGUCAUUACCUGAUAAAGCCAGACUUGUUUCUUUUUAAAUAAUCUGCAAAAUAGGCUAUAAAAUGCAUGUUUGUAAACUCAUCACAGGCUGCAUUCCAAUUGACUGUUAGAGAGGUUUUUAAGAUCCCAUUCUUAUUGUAUAGUGACUAUUAAAUAGAAAGUUUUCUCCUAUUAGACAAUCUGCCAAAAACUGUCAUUUAAUCUAAUAAUGUAGCAGGAAUCUGAAUAUCAUUUAAGUGACUUAUUAUUUCUCCUCUUCACUCCAUCCCCAGUUUUCCAGAAUCUUACUUUUAUUUGAAAUACCUCAAUAUGUCAGGCAUAUGAGUUAAUCCACCUGGGAACUUUCUUAUAGAAAUAUCUGCUUUAUGGCAGAACUGAUCAUGACUAAAGUCCAUUUGGGAUCAUCAUAAUUACCAAAGUACUAAAAAAGACCUCCAUAUAAAACUGGAUCUAGAAGACAGCAUUUAUAGAAUUUCAAUUAAAUAUAUACAUUUAACCCAACAAAACUUUAUUAAAUAAACAUGUUAUAGAUGUGUUCGGAGAAGAAGAA
rnacentral:lncRNA from 1 species